rnacentral:sRNA from 1 species
AGAAUGGAACCCUACUCUGAGAGG